rnacentral:tRNA from 1 species
GGAAGGUUGGGCAUUGGCACGCCACGCGCUCUCGAAAAGCGUCACGGGGCAACCCGCUGGAGGUUCGACUCCUCCACCUUCCGC